GGUGGCAAAGAUGGUGCAUACUUGCCUUCACUUAGACCAUAGUUCAUGGCUAAGAGCAUUAUUCUGAGCCAGU